rnacentral:rRNA from 1 species
UUUGGACUAGGGGCCCUUCUCGGGUUACCGAAUUCAGAUAAACUCCGAAUGCCAUUGAUUUAGAUCCGGGAGUCAGACUGCGAGUGAUAAGAUCCGUAGUCAAAAGGGAAACAGCCCAGACCACCAGCUAAGGUCCCAAAGUAUCUGUUAAGUGGAAAAGGAUGUGGGGUUGCACAGACAACUAGGAUGUUGGCUCAGAAGCAGCCAUCAUUUAAAGAGUGCGUAAUAGCUCACUAGUCGAGUGACCCUGCGCCGAAAAUUUACCGGGGCUAAACAGAUCACCGAAGCUGUGGAUGGAACCCAAUGGGUUCCGUGGUAGGAGAGCGUUCUAAGGGCAUCGAAGCCAGAUCGUGAGGACUGGUGGAGCGCUUAGAAGUGAGAAUGCCGGUAUGAGUAGCGCAAGACGGGUGAGAAUCCCGUCCACCGAAUAACUAAGGUUUCCUGGGGAAGGCUCGUCCUCCCAGGGUUAGUCGGGACCUAAGCUGAGGCCGAUAGGCGUAGGCGAUGGACAACAGGUUGAUAUUCCUGUACCAGUUGCUUUUGUUUGAGCGAUGGAGGGACGCAGGAGGCUAAGGAAUGCACACGAUCGGAAAUGUGUGUCCAAGCAGCAAGUCUGAGAACGAGUGAAAUGCUUUUUCUCUCAAGGACAAGCUGUGAUGGGGAGCGAAAUUUAGUAGCGAAGUUCCUGAUGUCACACUGCCAAGAAAAGCUUCUAGUGAGAAAGUAACUGCCCGUACCGCAAACCGACACAGGUAGUUGAGGAGAGAAUCCUAAGGUGUGCGAGAGAACUCUCGUUAAGGAACUCGGCAAAAUGACCCCGUAACUUCGGGAGAAGGGGUGCUGACCGCAAGGUCAGCCGCAGUGAAUAGGCCCAAGCGACUGUUUAUCAAAAACACAGGUCUCUGCAAAAUCGAAAGAUGACGUAUAGGGGCUGACGCCUGCCCGGUGCUGGAAGGUUAAGAGGAGAGGUUAGCGCAAGCGAAGCUUUGAAUUUAAGCCCCAGUAAACGGCGGCCGUAACUAUAACGGUCCUAAGGUAGCGAAAUUCCUUGUCGGGUAAGUUCCGACCCGCACGAAAGGCGUAACGAUUUGGGCACUGUCUCAACGAGAGACUCGGUGAAAUUAUAGUACCAGUGAAGAUGCUGGUUACCCGCGACAGGACGGAAAGACCCCAUGGAGCUUUACUGCAGUUUGAUAUUGCGUGUUUGUAUCACAUGUACAGGAUAGGUAGGAGCCGAAGAUACCGGGACGCCAGUCUCGGAGGAGGCAACGGUGGGAUACUACCCUUGUGAUAUGACCACUCUAACCCGCUGCUCUUAGCGAGCAGGGAGACAGUGUCAGACGGGCAGUUUGACUGGGGCGGUCGCCUCCAAAAAUGUAACGGAGGCGCCCAAAGGUUCCCUCAGAAUGGUUGGAAAUCAUUCGUAGAGUGUAAAGGCAGAAGGGAGCUUGACUGCGAGACCUACAAGUCGAGCAGGGACGAAAGUCGGGCUUAGUGAUCCGGUGGUUCCGCAUGGAAGGGCCAUCGCUCAACGGAUAAAAGCUACCCUGGGGAUAACAGGCUUAUCUCCCCCAAGAGUUCACAUCGACGGGGAGGUUUGGCACCUCGAUGUCGGCUCAUCGCAUCCUGGGGCUGUAGUCGGUCCCAAGGGUUGGGCUGUUCGCCCAUUAAAGCGGUACGCGAGCUGGGUUCAGA